rnacentral:rRNA from 1 species
GAUCCUGGCUCAGGAUGAACGCUGGCGGCAUGCCUAAGACAUGCAAGUCGUACGAAGUGGCCCAUUGAUGAUUGAGUGCUUGCACAAGAUUUGAUUUUGGAUUCCCACUUAGUGGCGCAAGGGUGAGUAACGCGUAGGUUAUCUGCCUUCGAGUUUGGAAUAACAAUUAGAAAUGAUUGCUAAUGCCGGAUUAUAUUUAAGAUGAUACGUUGUCUUAAAUUAAAAGGAGCCUUUAAAG